rnacentral:rRNA from 1 species
UACGAAGGGGGCUAGCGUUGCUCGGAAUCACUGGGCGUAAAGGGUGCGUAGGCGGAUUGUUAAGUCAGGGGUGAAAUCCUGGAGCUCAACUCCAGAACUGCCUUUGAUACUGACGGUCUUGAGUUCGGGAGAGGUGAGUGGAACUGCGAGUGUAGAGGUGAAAUUCGUAGAUAUUCGCAAGAACACCAGUGGCGAAGGCGGCUCACUGGCCCGAUACUGACGCUGAGGUGCGAAAGCGUGGGGAGCAAACAGG